rnacentral:rRNA from 1 species
AGUGAACGCUGGCGGUAGGCCUAACACAUGCAAGUCGAACGGCAGCACAGUAAGAGCUUGCUCUUACGGGUGGCGAGUGGCGGACGGGUGAGGAAUACAUCGGAAUCUACUUUUUCUUGGGGGAUAACGUAGGGAAACUUACGCUAAUACCGCAUACGACCUACGGGUGAAAGCAGGGGAUCUUCGGACCUUGCGCGAUUGAAUGAGCCGAUGUCGGAUUAGCUAGUUGGCGGGGUAAAGGCCCACCAAGGCGACGAUCCGUAGCUGGUCUGAGAGGAUGAUUAGCCACACUGGAACUGAGACACGGUCCAGACUCCUAAGGGAGGCAGCAGUGGGGAAUAUUGGACAAUGGGCGCAAGCCUGAUCCAGCCAUACCGCGUGGGUGAAGAAGGCCUUCGGGUUGUAAAGCCCUUUUGUUGGGAAAGAAAAGCAGCAGGUUAAUACCCCGCUGUUCUGACGGUACCCAAAGAAUAAGCACCGGCUAACUUCGUG